rnacentral:rRNA from 1 species
GACGAACGCUGGCGGCGUGCCUAAUACAUGCAAGUAGAACGCUGAAGGAGGAGCUUGCUCUUCUGGAUGAGUUGCGAACGGGUGAGUAACGCGUAGGUAACCUGCCUGGUAGCGGGGGAUAACUAUUGGAAACGAUAGCUAAUACCGCAUAACAGUAGAUGUUGCAUGACAUUUGCUUAAAAGGUGCAAUUGCACCACUACCAGAUGGACCUGCGUUGUAUUAGCUAGUUGGUGGGGUAACGGCUCACCAAGGCGACGAUACAUAGCCGACCUGAGAGGGUGAUCGGCCACACUGGGACUGAGACACGGCCCAGACUCCUACGGGAGGCAGCAGUAGGGAAUCAUCGGCAAUGGACGGAAGUCUGACCGAGCAACGCCGCGUGAGUGAAGAAGGUUUUCGGAUCGUAAAGCUCUGUUGUAAGAGAAGAACGAGUGUGAGAGUGGAAAGUUCACACUGUGACGGUAUCUUACCAGAAAGGGACGGCUAACUACGUG